GUGGUCCAGCCUACGUAUUGC
rnacentral:piRNA from 1 species